rnacentral:rRNA from 1 species
ACGCGUUGGGAGCUCUCCCUAUGGUCGACCUGCAGGCGGCCGCGAAUUCACUAGUGAUUCGUAUUACCGCGGCUGCUGGCACGUAGUUAGCCGGUGCUUCUUCUGCAGGUACCGUCACAAAAAGCUUCGUCCCUGCUGAAAGCGGUUUACAACCCGAAGGCCGUCAUCCCGCACGCGGCGUUGCUGCAUCAGGCUUGCGCCCAUUGUGCAAUAUUCCCCACUGCUGCCUCCCGUAGGAGUCUGGGCCGUAUCUCAGUCCCAAUGUGGCCGGUCACCCUCUCAGGCCGGCUACCCGUCGCCGCCUUGGUAGGCCACUACCCCACCAACAAGCUGAUAGGCCGCGAGUCCAUCCACAACCGCCGGAGCUUUCCAACCCCCACCAUGCAGCAGGAGCACAUAUCCAGUAUUAGCACCAGUUUCCUAGCGUUAUCCCAAAGUUGUGGGCAGGUUACUCACGUGUUACUCACCCGUUCGCCACUCGUGUACCCCCGAAAGGGCCUUACCGUACGACUUGCAUGUGUUAAGCACGCCGCCAGCGUUCGUCCUGAGCCAUGAUCAAACUCUAAUCGAAUUCCCGCGGCCG